CUGAGCGGUGGAGGGGUUUCUGCGUGAAGAGAGAGAUGAUGGCGGCAAAUUUAAAGGAGAUGGGCUGAGUUUCUGAAGAGAGAGAACACGUAAACUGUGGGCCAGGAAGAGAACUUUGCUGGUCAGGAGCUUAAUGGUGUGAGGAUCGGGGAACAGGAAGCCCCGUGGACGAGAGUGCACUUGAUUAAACAUCGUGGCAUCAUCUUCGAGAAUGUGACUAACGCAGCUGCUGUGAUUGAGUUCUUCCCAACAACAUGUCCAGUUUGUACACACCGAAGGUCACAGGCUGAGCUGCAUACACCACAAAACGGUGCAGACCCUUUGGGAGAAAUACAUCGGUGGACAGAAUUCUGAGGCGUGAGGUCAACGCUGUAACUGAAUAAAUGUGUUGUUAUUUGGUGGGAGACACGCGUGUACCUUACCACCUGUAUCCAGUGAACUUUGAUCAGAUUCAGCCUGCUGACAUACGCUUUCCCGACAUAAAGUCAGCUCUGCAAAUAAUCACUCAGUGCAGAGAAAUAAGUUAUGACGAAAGAUCAACUAUUCGCUGUGUUCCUGGGCAUCGCAAAC